CACAACUCAAGUGUCCCCGCGGUUCAAUUGUCGUACAAACUUUCCUCCAAUUUUUCUUGUAUUUUCCACUAUUUAAUUGACUAAAAUGCCGCGCCGACGGAUCGUAGAGGACAGCAGUGACGAGGAGCCGUCACAGAGCCAACCAGCAUCACAGCUGUCACAGAGUCAGGGCGGUGGUGAGAUCUCUGACCAGGACAAGAAAGUGCUUGCUGGCAAUGUUUGCAACUACUUCUUGGUGUCUGAUUGCAAAAAGAUUCCAGCAAAAA